UGGCCUUGACAUAGAAAGAACUUUCCAGAGACGGAUUGGUGCUAGUUUACUAGAGCUUUCAUACAGGUGCUGCACGGCUGUCGUCAGCUCGUGUCGUGAGAUGUUGGGUUAAGUCCCGCAACGAGCGCAACCCUCGUCCUUAGUUGCCAGCAGGUUAAGCUGGGCACUUUAAGGAGACUGCCUUCGCAAGGAGGAGGAAGGUGAGGACGACGUCAAGUCAUCAUGGCCCUUAUGGCUAGGGCUACACACGUGCUACAAUGGGGCGUACAGAGAGUUGCGAUACCGCGAGGUGGAGCCAAUCUCAUAAAGCGUCUCUCAGUUCGGAUUGAAGUCUGCAACUCGACUUCAUGAAGCUGGAAUCACUAGUAAUCGUAGAUCAGCAAUGCUACGGUGAAUACGUUCCCGGGUCU
rnacentral:rRNA from 1 species